AUUGAACGCUGGCGGCAUGCCUUACACAUGCAAGUCGAACGGCAGCACGGAGCUUGCUCUGGUGGCGAGUGGCGAACGGGUGAGUAGUAUAUCGGAACGUACCCAAGAGUGGGGGAUAACGUAGCGAAAGUUACGCUAAUACCGCAUACGAUCUAAGGAUGAAAGUGGGGGAUCGCAAGACCUCAUGCUCCUGGAGCGGCCGAUAUCUGAUUAGCUAGUUGGUGAGGUAAAGGCUCACCAAGGCAUCGAUCAGUAGCUGGUCUGAGAGGACGACCAGCCACACUGGAACUGAGACACGGGCCAGACUCCUACGGGAGGCAGCAGUGGGGAAUUUUGGACAAUGGGGGCAACCCUGAUCCAGCAAUGCCGCAUGAGUGAAGAAGGCCUUCGGGUUGUAAAGCUUUUUUGUCAGGGAAGAAACGGUGAAGGCUAAUAUCCUUUGCUAAUGACGGUACCUGAAGAAUAAGCACCGGCUAACUACGUGCCAGCCGCCGCAGUAA
rnacentral:rRNA from 1 species